GUGUUGUAAGUGUUUAAGGGCGCAUGGUGGAUGCCUUGGCACUGGGAGCCGAUGAAGGACGUGGGAGGCUGCGAUAUGCCUCGGGGAGCUGCCAACCGAGCGUGGAUCCGAGGAUGUCCGAAUGGGGAAACCCGGCACGAGUGAUGUCGUGUCACCCAACGCUGA
rnacentral:rRNA from 1 species